rnacentral:rRNA from 1 species
UACGAAGGGGCUAGCGUUGCUCGGAAUCACUGGGCGUAAAGGGUGCGUAGGCGGGUCUUUAAGUCAGGGGUGAAAUCCUGGAGCUCAACUCCAGAACUGCCUUUGAUACUGAGGAUCUUGAGUUCGGGAGAGGUGAGUGGAACUGCGAGUGUAGAGGUGAAAUUCGUAGAUAUUCGCAAGAACACCAGUGGCGAAGGCGGCUCACUGGCCCGUAACUGACGCUGAGGCACGAAAGCGUGGGGAGCAAACAGGG